rnacentral:rRNA from 1 species
CGCGCAGGCGGAACACAUAGUCAGACGUGAAAGCCCCGGGCUUAACCUGGGAAUUGCGUUUGAUACUUGUGAUCUGGAGUCUCGGAGAGGGUGGUGGAAUUCCCAGUGUAGAGGUGAAAUUCGUAGAUAUUGGGAAGAACACCAGUGGCGAAGGCGGCCACCUGGACGAGUACUGACGCUGAGGCGCGAAAGCGUGGGGAGCAAACAGGAUUAGAUACCCUGGUAGUCC